rnacentral:rRNA from 1 species
CAUAGGUUAAUGAGGCGAACCGGGGGAACUGAAACAUCUAAGUACCCCGAGGAAAAGAAAUCAACCGAGAUUCCCCCAGUAGCGGCGAGCGAACGGGGAGGAGCCCAGAGCCUGAAUCAGUGUGUGUGUUAGUGGAAGCGUCUGGAAAGGCGCGCGAUACAGGGUGACAGCCCCGUACACAAAAAUGCACAUGCUGUGAGCUCGAUGAGUAGGGCGGGACACGUGGUAUCCUGUCUGAAUAUGGGGGGACCAUCCUCCAAGGCUAAAUACUCCUGACUGACCGAUAGUGAACCAGUACCGUGAGGGAAAGGCGAAAAGAACCCCGGCGAGGGGAGUGAAAAAGAACCUGAAACCGUGUACGUACAAGCAGUGGGAGCCUCUUAAUGGGGUGACUGCGUACCUUUUGUAUAAUGGGUCAGCGACUUAUAUUCUGUAGCAAGGUUAACCGAAUAGGGGAGCCGAAGGGAAACCGAGUCUUAACUGGGCGUUAAGUUGCAGGGUAUAGACCCGAAACCCGGUGAUCUAGCCAUGGGCAGGUUGAAGGUUGGGUAACACUAACUGGAGGACCGAACCGACUAAUGUUGAAAAAUUAGCGGAUGACUUGUGGCUGGGGGUGAAAGGCCAAUCAAACCGGGAGAUAGCUGGUUCUCCCCGAAAGCUAUUUAGGUAGCGCCUCGUGAAUUCAUCUCCGGGGGUAGAGCACUGUUUCGGCAAGGGGGUCAUCCCGACUUACCAACCCGAUGCAAACUGCGAAUACCGGAGAAUGUUAUCACGGGAGACACACGGCGGGUGCUAACGUCCGUCGUGAAGAGGGAAACAACCCAGACCGCCAGCUAAGGUCCCAAAGUCAUGGUUAAGUGGGAAACGAUGUGGGAAGGCCCAGACAGCCAGGAUGUUGGCUUAGAAGCAGCCAUCAUUUAAAGAAAGCGUAAUAGCUCACUGGUCGAGUCGGCCUGCGCGGAAGAUGUAACGGGGCUAAACCAUGCACCGAAGCUGCGGCAGCGACACUAUGUGUUGUUGGGUAGGGGAGCGUUCUGUAAGCCUGUGAAGGUGGCCUGUGAGGGUUGCUGGAGGUAUCAGAAGUGCGAAUGCUGACAUAAGUAACGAUAAAGCGGGUGAAAAGCCCGCUCGCCGGAAGACCAAGGGUUCCUGUCCAACGUUAAUCGGGGCAGGGUGAGUCGACCCCUAAGGCGAGGCCGAAAGGCGUAGUCGAUGGGAAACAGGUUAAUAUUCCUGUACUUGGUGUUACUGCGAAGGGGGGACGGAGAAGGCUAUGUUGGCCGGGCGACGGUUGUCCCGGUUUAAGCGUGUAGGCUGGUUUUCCAGGCAAAUCCGGAAAACCAAGGCUGAGGCGUGAUGACGAGGCACUACGGUGCUGAAGUGACAAAUGCCCUGCUUCCAGGAAAAGCCUCUAAGCAUCAGGUAACAUCAAAUCGUACCCCAAACCGACACAGGUGGUCAGGUAGAGAAUACCAAGGCGCUUGAGAGAACUCGGGUGAAGGAACUAGGCAAAAUGGUGCCGUAACUUCGGGAGAAGGCACGCUGAUAUGUAGGUGAAGCGACUUGCUCGUGGAGCUGAAAUCAGUCGAAGAUACCAGCUGGCUGCAACUGUUUAUUAAAAACACAGCACUGUGCAAACACGAAAGUGGACGUAUACGGUGUGACGCCUGCCCGGUGCCGGAAGGUUAAUUGAUGGGGUUAGCGGUAACGCGAAGCUCUUGAUCGAAGCCCCGGUAAACGGCGGCCGUAACUAUAACGGUCCUAAGGUAGCGAAAUUCCUUGUCGGGUAAGUUCCGACCUGCACGAAUGGCGUAAUGAUGG